rnacentral:rRNA from 1 species
UACGUAGGGUGCAGGCGUUAAUCGGAAUUACUGGGCGUAAAGCGUGCGCAGGCGGCCUCUUAAGUCAGAUGUGAAAUCCCCGGGCUUAACCGGGGAACUGCGUCUGAUACUGGAUGGCUGGAGGUUGGGAGAGGGAUGCGGAAUUCCAGGUGUAGCGGUGAAAUGCGUAGAUAUCUGGAGGAACACCGGUGGCGAAGGCGGCAUCCUGGACCAAUUCUGACGCUGAGGAGCGAAAGCCAGGGGAGCAAACGGG